GACGGCUCUUGGGUGACGCACCCCGUGUCCAGCUCCCUCCUCUCUGGUUCCGGGGUGUGUCACCUGAGAACCACU
rfam:Myotis brandtii contig201240, whole genome shotgun sequence.